GCUUCCUUAGCUCAGUUGGCAGAGCAACUGACUCUUAAUCAGUGGGUCCACGGUUCGAGCCCGUGAGGGAGUACCA
rnacentral:tRNA from 1 species